CCUCUUGCUGAGACACAUGAAAAAAAAAAAGUUAUCCAACUUGUGGAAUAAUCUCUAUCCUAUGUCGGCAAACAUAGUUUUGGGCAUUUGUCGUUAAACCUAUGCCUUCACGGUCAGCUAACUAGCUCCUUUAGGCUCAUGACAUUGUCUUAAUUAUUUACAUUUAAAGUGUUAUCCUCAUUAGACUCACGUUUAUAAUUUAUUCCUUUUAUGCCUAUGUUCAUAGUUUAGCCAUUUUAGGCUUAAAAUCCUGAAGUGCCACUUUAGGGCGCAUAUAGAGUGUUAACUGUAGUAGGCUUAUAAUCAAGACUUAACAUCAUUAUUGGAGAGAAAUGAGAGGUAAUUUCAAGGUUCGUUAUGUUAUCGUGACUUACAUAUGCUGGUUCACAAAUGUCCAUGUUGAUGAUAUUAAUUGUUACCUAUGCAUUCGGCAGGUUAGUGAGACUCAUCCUUCUCAUCUUUGCGAGCCGUGAGUGCACAAAGCAGUUAAAUUAAAGCUACUGCCAUGGAUAGGUGUUCGCAUCCAAGAGAGUGUAAUCUAACAAUUGUUGGAAACAAUUAAAAAAAGAAACUGGAAAUAUCUCAAAAGAGAGCUUGUGGCAGCAUUUAUGGGAGAAAUUAUAUGUCAUGUUUGGACUACUAGGAAAGGAAUUGGAACUUUUUAGGAAGGUAAAUGUACACAUAGAGACAUUAUUUGAGCAAAAUAAAAAAUUUGUAGAAAAGAUAGAUCAUUGAAAGUUAUCCAAAUGAACCCAUAGAUAUAAUAGUUUCGUAUAAAGAAUUCUCCGUAACCAGUGAUUAUUCUUUUUGUUUUGUUGAGACAAGCUCUUUAGCCUUUUUCUGGCUAGAAUGUUCUUAUGCUCUUCAGAUGUACUUGGUUUUAGUGGUUAUGGCAAAAGUUCACAUUAAGGAACAAGUAAAAUCUCACUCUUUAAUCAAAUUUGCAACUUUUUUUUGGGAACCAAUUUAGCCAAGGUCAUAAAAUUCAUAGUAACAGAUUCCAAAUCAUAAAUCAAUAUCCAUAAGAUUCAUGGAUUCCAAUAGUUUCAUGAUGUAUGCAGAAUUCACAAAUCUCGCAAUAAUUCAUAGGAUUUAAUGAGUUUCGCAAAAGUUGGAAGAGUAUUAUUCAUGAUCGAGAGUGAUUUUUCAGAAAACUUAUUUAAAGAACUCAAACAUGUUAAGAGUAAUCUGAAUUGAGAGGAACAAUAUAACUUGCGGAAUAUAUGAAGAGACAGUUCUAAAUACCUCUAGACAUUGAAAAACUUGAUAUCGGGAGAGGAGAUGUGGACUUAUUUUAUUGAACCAAUUCUCUUGGGAUUGUUGUAACAGCGUUUGAGAAGAGGUAAAGGGAUAUUCAGUAACAGAAUAUUGAAUAAAAUUUAUGGGGAAUGAGACAUGUGAAACUCAUGGAGAAAGAGAAGUGUGAAGGUGAUGGAGAAGGAGAUGUGUGAAACUAAUGGAGCGUAGACGUUUUUAACGUGUUAAGUUGAUGGAAAAAGGAAGAUUUUUAACGUGUGAAACUGAUGAAGGAAAAGAGUUUAAAUUGUGAUAGAUGAUUAAAAAAACAUAUGAAAGUGAUAUAGAAAGGGGAUAUUUAAUCGUUUGGGAUUAAGGUUAAAAAGAAAGGACAAUACUACCCUUAGAGCGAGCUACUGCCCUUCUUUCUUCCCUUGUACUACAACGAUGAUGCAACAGUUAAAUUUUCAUCCCCAGGCUAUGAUUUACACCCUUAUACCCUCCCGAAACAUAUACGAAUCAUUCCAAGUGGAUUUCCAACAAAUUUGAAGCAUAACAAGAUCAAUUAUGCAGCCAUGACACCUCCACUUACUACUAUGACUUAAGCUUAAAAUAUGAGGUAUAAUAGUACACUAAGAAGUGUUUAGCUUACUUUUGUGAUGGUUUUUCUUAUCUUUCUUUUUUAUUUUUACCAGGAAACUUAUAAGUUUAUAAGUUAUGUUUUAGAGGUUUAAUGUUUUAGGCAAAACAUAGCUGGGAAUCUUCUUGUUGGCAGCUAUUGUUGUUUCUCCAACUAGGGGGGGCUGCUGCUUCUUGAGCUGAGGGUCUAUCUGGAACACCCUCUCUACCCCUGAGUUAGGGAUAAGGCUUAGAAGGGGCUACUGCUGAUGUGCAUUGUUAUGAUGUUUUGACAAAUAAAUGAUCUAGGGAUCGAAGACACUUUUUCUAUCCCCGUACAACGUUAGGUGGAUUAGUAGGUCGAUCGGGUCGAGUUACUUGAAGUGAUAGGAUGGAGUGGGUAACAUCAAUCAAGCAUUCAGUUCAAUUGACUUGACAUUUCUCCACAAAGACAACUUUAUUACCUCUUUGGAAUGACAAGGAAACAAGUAUGAACAACAAGAGAAAUUCAGCUUACUCCUUCGAAGGUCAAGCAUGAGCCUUCGUAGCUAAAACUCCAACACUGGAAUCCUCUGAUAGGUGCUACUAGUUAUGGUCUUAUAUUCCUAGUAAGGGAAAAGGAGAAGGGCAUGAGAAAGAGAGCUAAGGGACAAAUUAUAAUGCAUUCUAUCAAUCUAACAAUGUAUUAGUACAUUUUGAAUACAUUGUUAUUUAUGAUUUGUUGCAAA